AUCGCUCACCACUCAAGCCCUGGAGUGAAUCCCUGGGGCUCAGGGUGGGGGGUGAAGGUGCAGAUCUGCACUGAGGGGAUUUCUCCCUGCAUCUAUUCCUGGUGGGGUUCACCCCCCACCCACCAGCCAGAGCUAUGGCGCAGUGGGGCAGAGGUGAUGGGAAAAAAACAGGAGGAAGAGGAGAGAGAGAAAAGGAGGAGGAACAGGAAGAGGAGGAGCAUGAAAAGGAGCAGAAGAAGAAGCGGGAGGGAUACCGUUCGCUGUGUCCGCAGCCCCCCCGGGCUCCAAGAGCAUCGCACCCCUUACAUCCCUCAGGUGGAGACUCGGCUGCUGAGAUGGAGCUGCUGCAGCAGAGAGCACAGGGAAGGACCAAUUUCAGCCGCAGAUGCACCAGUGCCAGAAAGGUGAUUAUUGUAGUCACCGUGCUCACCGUGGUGCUGCUUCUUAUAGUCGCCAUCAUCACACUGGCAGCUAAGAAAGACCCACCCUGCCCAGCUCCCACCCUGCCCAGCUGCCUGGAGAGUGGGAUUGGCUUUGGGAACAAGUGCUUUUAUUUUCUGGAGGAGGAGGUGGACUGGGAAGGGAGUCAGCACUCCUGCCUCUCCCGCCAAGCCCACCUAGCCACCAUUGACACCAAGGAGGAGCUGCAUUUUCUCCUGCGCUAUGGGAACUUCAUGGAGUACUGGGUUGGUCUCUGGAGGGAAGGUUCUGGACCUUGGAAAUGGCUCAAUGGUUCCCUCUUCAAUGCCCUGUACGUCCCAUCUUCUGGAGAACAAAACUAUGGCCUGGGCUGAGCUGGGGCAGGGGCUGGAUGCAGGAAGCACAAGUAGAGAUCUGUUGAGGUGGGAGCAAUCAAACACUACUUUCCUUGGUUGUGCCAAAGCAUUCAGACACAUCCCAUGGAUUUGUGAGAUGCAGAUGCUGAUGGGGGCCUGGGGGCAUCCCUGGAUGAAUCCCCUGGGACCAAGAACAUGAAAACCAUUGAGGAGUGGAAAUUAGUUUGGGUUCUUCAUGGGGACUUUGCUGGGAAGGUUUGACAUCCAGGGCAACGGCCACUGCGCCUACACGAACUCCCACAGGAUCAGCAGCGACAGGUGCUCUGAGACUAAGUUUUCCAUCUGCAGCCACCUGCAGAGACACCCCAGUGAAGUCCAGAAGGAUACAGAAAUCCUG